rnacentral:lncRNA from 10 species
CAAGGACAGAGAAACCAGACUAGAAUUUCAGAUGUGGAUCCCAAUGGGAAAUUCAUAGGGGUAGGCCCUUCAAAUUGCAGUUGCUAAUUUCUGAUGAAGAUCUUUCUCAGGAAUGCCUGAUUGCUCGGACCAUAUGGAGGCCUAACUUUGGUAGGAACCCACCUGCAACAUUGUCUCCUGAAAUGAAACACAACUGUUUGUUUAAUGGAACUGACCUGUUCUCCAGGAGUAAGAGAUUUUCAGUAAGAUAAGGUUGCAAUCUAUCAACUCAGCUUCUGAACUAUGAAACUUCUUGGGGAAGGUUCAAAGGAGGGAAAUGAAGGAUGGCAGAAUAUGCCAUCUGCAAAUACACCACUUUGGCAUAAGGAUUAUUUUGAUAUAAAGGCACUUUAGAAAAAGAACAACAGUGGCUGCAAGAAAGGCGCUCUAAUCCUCCCCUUUUUCUUCCUGAAAGUUGAAGAUAAAACCCCUACAUGGAAAAAUCCUCCUGUACCAGAAAGAAAGUUCUAUUCUUAUUUUCAGUAAUAGGAAGUUGAGGGGGGAGAAUUCUCUACAAACAAACCUGGUUAAACUAACCCUUAUCUUCCUACUCACUUCUCUACCCAGUUAACUACCCUUGCCCAAGCCCCUUUGCCUAAUUACAGUCUCAUAAUUUACUACUCUUUGUCCAAUUCAGUAUGUAAGUGUUCGAUUCUAAUUGGCUCUUCGGGUCUUUACUUUCUUAUGAAGCCCCCUGUGCCACAUAA